rnacentral:rRNA from 1 species
AUUCCUACGGGAGGCAGCAGUGGGGAAUUUUGCGCAAUGGGCGAAAGCCUGACGCAGCAACGCCGCGUGGGGGACGAAGGCCCUCGGGUUGUAAACCCCUUUCAGCAGGGACGAAAAUGACGGUACCUGCAGAAGAAGCCCCGGCCAACUACGUGCCAGCAGCCGCGGUAAUAAU